UGCGUAGGCGGCGUUGUAAGUCAGAGGUGAAAGCCCGCAGCUAAACUGCGGAACUGCCUUUGAUACUGCAGUGCUUGAAUUAGGUUGAGGUCGGCGGAAUGUGACAUGUAGCGGUGAAAUGCUUAGAUAUGUCAUAGAACACCAAUUGCGAAGGCAGCUGGCUAGACCUAUAUUGACGCUGAGGCACGAAAGCGUGGGGAGCGAACAGGAUUAGAUACCCUGGUAGUCC
rnacentral:rRNA from 1 species